rnacentral:misc_RNA from 1 species
CCUGGAAUUGAUGAAAGAUCCUGUCAUUGUUUCAUCCGGCCAGACUUACGAGCGUUCUUCAAUUGAGAAGUGGCUGGAAGCAGGGCAUAGCACUUGUCCCAAGACACAACAAGUCCUCACUAGCAAUGUUAUCACACCAAACUAUGUGUUGCGGAGCCUCAUAGCACAGUGGUGUGAAAUGAAUGGAGUUGAAUCACCCAAACGACCAGGUAGUUCACCCAAUAAAUCAGCAUCCGCAUGCACGCCUGCUGAGCACUCGACGAUAGAAAAUCUCCUGAGAAAGCUCACAUCUGGCAGCCCUGAAGAUCGUCUCUCAGCCACAGGUGAAAUCCGCCUUCUUGCUAAACGCAAUGCUGAUAAUCGUGUUGCAAUAGCUGAAGCAGGUGCUAUUCCUCUGCUUGUUGACCUUCUUUCCACACCCGAUUCUCGGAUCCAAGAGCAUGCUGUUACAGCACUACUUAACCUUUCUAUCUGUGAGGAUAACAAACGGAGCAUUGUAACAUCAGGGGCAGUGCCUGGUAUCGUCCAUGUUCUUAAGAAGGGGAGCAUGGAAGCACGUGAAAAUGCAGCGGCUGCACUAUUUAGCCUUUCAGUUAUAGAUGAGAAUAAGGUCAUAAUUGGUACUUUUGGAGCAAUACCUCCACUUGUAACAUUAUUAAGUGAUGGCACCCAGAGAGGGAAGAAAGACGCUGCUACCGCACUUUUCAAUCUGUGCAUUUAUCAAGGG